rnacentral:lncRNA from 1 species
CAUACCUGUAGUAGAAAGGAUUGUUAUUAUCAUUAUUAUGGCCGUGAGCUGGCAGAAUCAUUAACACAGACGACUAAACGCUUAGUGGUAUUUCUACUGACUUUGUAUUCUGAGUUCAGAUUCUACCACGGUCGACUUUGUUUUCAUCCUUUCGGGGUCGUUAAAAUAAAUACAAAUCGAGCACUGAGGUCAAUAUAAUCAGCUUCCCCCUCCCCUCAAAAUUACUAGCCUUGUGCCAAAGCUAGAAAGAGUUAUUAACUGGCAGAAUCGUUAGCACACCAGGCGAAAUGCUUAGCAUAUUUUGCCCGUCACCAUGUUCUGAGUUUAAAUUCUGCCAAGGUCAACUUUGCCUUUCACCCUUUUGGGGGUCGAUAAAUUAAGUACCAGUGAAACACUGGGGUCGAUGUCAUCAACUCAUCCCCUCCCCCAAAAUGCUGCUCUUGUAGCAAAAUUUGAAACCAUUAUUAUUAUUAUUAUUAUUAUUAUUGAAAAUUGAAUUUUUCUUGUAGAACUGAAAGCUAUGGUUUUAAGUUACCAGUGAGUGUGUCCUCUUCUCCCUCGUGGCCAUUGCUGAGGAUCUUGGGAAGGGCAUGAACAAUUCAGUAUCUACAUUCGGUGGUAUAUAUCUAAAUCCAAGAUUUUAUCCUACCUGUCUGUUGUACGCAGAGAUCAUCAUCAGCAUCAUAACUACCACAACUAUCAUCAUCAUUAUCAUCACUACCAUUGUCAUUAUCAUUAUCAUCAUCAUCAUCAUCGUCAAUAUUUUCUAUUACUGAUGUUGCUAAUGCCCCAAAAAUAGGCAUGAAAGUCUUCAUCAGCCUUCUGCGUAUUCUCCUUAUUAAUUAUUAAUUAACAAACUAAUUAUUAUUAAUAUUAAUAAUAAUAAUAAUAAUAAUAAUAAUAAUAAAAGAAAAUGGAGCAGUGUCUUAAAUAUCUUAAUUUCUGCUCAUCUAACCCUCCAACAUACACAGUUCAAACAGUUCAGAUCAAUCCUAAGAUUCACACACAUACACACACUGCCUUUCAUCUCAUCCAAAAAUGGGUACCAGUAAUAAACUGGGGAUGAGGAAAGCAGAGCAGUCAAGUGAAUCAACUGUUCCUUCUCCUCUCCCUGUCCCUCUCCCCCUCCCCCACUACCGUCACAUCUCAUUCAUGGUUGGUUGCUCGACAUUCUGGUAAAAAAAAAAAGUAGAUUUAACAAGAUCUCUUUUUUAAUCACAUCUUAGGGUAGGAGACAUUGGUUAAUGUAUUCCUAGAUACACACUGUCUGAAAAACUCAAAAAAGACAAGGUGGUCAUGACUGGAAUGGCAGUGAGAGCUGACCGAGGUUAAAUAACCUAGUACUGUGUAAAAAAAAAAAAUUACUGUUUAUAAUAAUAAUAACAGUAAUAAUAAUAAUAAGGGUCAGAAAAAGGAUAUUGUUGUGGUGCAAGAAGGGAGAGAAGACGAGACAAAUAAGGGGUUAAAGAAACUUUGGUAUUAGGGUUAGUUGAGGGCAGAACUGGUGGUUUGUGAGGGUUAAGGUGAGUUUGGCAGAUGUGCAAUGUUUACUGAUAAUUUACACUGACUUCUUGUGGCCCUUUGCUUCAGGGUACAGUGGUAGUGUGCCUGUAGAUCAGGGGUCAGGUGGAGGAAAACAAUGUCUAAUAUAGUCUUGAGUUAAGGUUCCCUUAAAGUCCCUCUUUUCUACAUACCUGCACCAGACAUCUACAAUUCAUACUUAGAAAGCUCCUCAAUAGCAAACAUUAAUUUCUUUAUCAUUUUUACUGGUACCCCAGUAAAAGAUAAAUGGGUUUUAUUUAAAUGAAUCCACUCCAGUACUUAUUCUACUGGCCUCUUAUGCCACACCACUAAACUACAGGGACAUAAACAAACCAACACUGGUUGUCAAGCUGUGGUGGGGGGGACAAACACAUACAAUAUAUAUAUGUAUAUUAACAGGCUUCAUUCAGGCCUUGGCUAAAGUAGAAGACACUUGCCCAAAGUGCCACACAGUGGGACUGAACCCAGAAACAUUUGGCUGGAAAAUUAACUUUUAACUAUACAGCCAUGCUUGAGCCCACAUAGUCAUUGCUAGCAGCAUCAAUAAUAAUAAUAAUAAUAAUGUUUUAUUUGUUAAUAACUAGAAUUGGUCAAAGCAGACUAGUUCAGUCAUAAAGUGUAUCGUUAAUUAAUAUCAUGUAAACUUUGAGAUUUGUGGUUCAAGGAUAGGAAGCAACACCUCUAGGAAGAUUUCUCUCACCUCUCUACAAGAAACACAUUUGUGUGAUUUCACUACCACAAUGCUGUCUAGUGAAACACUCAACAAUAAACAGUGCUCCUGCUUACUGUUUUCCCAACUAUCUCCUCCUGGCACAUUCUGAUUCCAGUUCCUAUUAUAGUACCAGUGAGUGUAUAUCUAUCUAUAUAUAUAUAUAUAUAUAUAUAUACUUGGGCCUCCUUCUUUAAAGUGACUCUGUGUUGGUGUUGGUGGAAAUGAAGAUAAUCAUCUAAGGAGGAC